AGGGUGAACGCUGGCGGCGUGCCUAACACAUGCAAGUCGAGCGGUGCAGUUUGAAGCUUCGGUGGAAAGCUGCAUAGCGGCGGACGGGUGAGGAAAACGUAGGAACGUGCCCUUGGAGUUGGAUAGCCACGGGAAACUGUGGGUAAACCGACAUAGACUCGAGAGAGUAAAGGCCGAAAGGCGCCAAGGGAGCGGCCUGCGGCCCAUCAGGUAGUUGGUAGUGUAAAGGACUACCAAGCCGACGACGGGUAGCCGGUCUGAGAGGAUGGCCGGCCACAAGGGCACUGAGAGACGGGCCCUACUCCUACGGGAGGCAGCAGUGGGGGAUUUUGGACAAUGGGCGAAAGCCUGAUCCAGCGACGCCGCGUGGAGGACGAAGCCCUUCGGGGUGUAAACUCCUUUUCUCAGGGAAAAAGGAUGAUGGUACCUGAGGAAUAAGCCCCGGCUAACUACGUG
rnacentral:rRNA from 1 species